CUGCUCUCUCCCCAUCUCUCAUCUCUCUCUCCCUCUCCCCCUCUCUCAUCUCCCUCUCCCUCUCUACCCCCUCUCUCAUCUCUCUCCUGCUCUCUCCCAAUCUUUCAUCUCUCUCCCGCUCCACCCCUCAUUCUCUCCCCCUCUCUCAUCUCUCUCCCCCCUCUCUCAUUCUCUCCCUCUCUUCCAUAGCAGCUAAAAGGGGAAGCAUGUUUCUGUUCACUUAUUCUGCAUCAUUGAUGAGAAAGGCCUGCCCCAUUCAGAAUGAAACGAGCAAUCUACGGCCAUCUCUCAUUGUUCUAUAAGUCAUUCUUCAUCAGAGACUUUUAAACCAUGUUUUUCUCCUCUCUGCCAAAGACAUUACCAGCUAUACCUCUUCUCCCAGUCUUUUAUGAAAAAAAAAACAAAAAAACCUGAGAGACGAAAAAAGCAUCUACAUGUUAAAGGAUGAUUAAAAUUGUAUAGUAUUUGUACUUUCAGGUAGGAAAUAUUCAAAUGUGCCUUUCCGUACCGUAUAGUGAUUGAAGGAAGUUGUGAUUUGAGUUUUCCCCCUUUCUGCAUUUGUCUACCGUAAUGCUUUCUUCUCUCACAUUACCGUGUGUGUGUGUGUGUGUGUGUGUGUGUGUGUGUGUGGGAACCUGCUGUGAUGCCUUUCCCUCUCUCACAUUAACUCCACACCCUUC
rnacentral:lncRNA from 1 species